rnacentral:lncRNA from 1 species
GUUUAUAUUCAAGCUAUUAAGCCCGAUUUCUGCUCCACCUUACAAAUGAAUGAUGUAGAGCACCUGAACAAUACUCAGAUUGCAAACAAAAUUAACAUGAACAGCUUCCUUGAACCUCUUCAACAAUUUCAAACCUUGAGAGCAAUAAACCAAACCGUCGACACAACAUCAACCGUCCUUACGGUCUCUGUCCUCGAAGUUGAUAAAUGUUAAAAUCCCUUAAACCCUCCAAGGCAAGUGG